CCUGCUUGGGACCAUUUGUUCCAAGGCAAAAAGUAAGGACACAAAAAAAUUUUCCGCUUGGAAAUUCUUUCAUUCCAAGGCAAAAAUUAGGGACUUGAGAGAAAAUAGCCGACUGUAAAAUCCAAAAGGAAUGGUCGACGACAGAUAAUGCCAGAAAUGUUUUAGUGCAAAGUAAAUAAUUGCUAUGUUAUUCAUGCUGAAUUUUAGGUCCAAUCAUAAUAAAACAAGAUCUUAUUUCCAUACUGAUCAUUAGCACAUUAGAUUUGCAUUUCUCAUCUAUGUGCCUAUAUUCUUCAUGCAUACAAGUGCAAAGACAG
rnacentral:lncRNA from 1 species